UUACAACUUACGAGGAAGAGAGACUUAACUGUACAUUUGAAGACCCGACUCCCGAGGGAAAUUGAAGCAAAAAGAAGACCCCAGUGUUGGCUUCAACAAUCUGGGGAGAUUUGUUGGAAUAUUACAGAAGAUGGGGUACAAGAGAAUAACACUUGAGAGAAGACUGAUUAGUAUUUUGAUCCUUUGGAGAAAAUAGAAGCCUGAAAAGUGCUGACUAAAUAGCAUGGAAGAGGCACUGAAACAGAGGCCGAUAUGCAGCAAGUGAGAGUGCAUACAAUGAAGGGCAACUACAAACGAGUUUAACACAUGAAAGACCUCGAGUCCUUAUAAAACAGACAGAGGAUGCUGUGAAUCAGGAAAAUAUCCAAUAUUCAGUAAAAAAAAAAAACUUCACAGAAUUGGGAGGUGACUAAAAUUAACAAAAGGUUUUAGAGGAUGUGAUGGGAGGGCAAGGUCUGUGACAAGAAUGAGUAACAAUAAUCAUGAAAAAGAGAAAUGAAAAAUGACAAGAGGAAUUGAGCAGAAUCAGGCACCAGUAAAUGUACAGUCACAUUUCAGACUAGAAUGGAUGGGCAGCCAAAAAAAGUAAAUGAAGUGGCUGUUGGUUUACAGUGUGCUCAAGUCCAGGGCCGACUGUACCAUGUUUAACUGGCAUAAAAUGAUGACCUUCAAGAUUGUAUUAAAAGGAAAGCUAUUGUUACAAGCAAAGGGACUUCAACCAGUGCUGCUGUUUACUAUUUAAGCCCAACAAAACUCCUAGUAUUGCUGAGGUAACUUCCUAUUUCCUGACAUAUCUAAAGCAAGACUGUGAUGAAGGAUACAGAGCCAAGAAGAUCUACGUAUGCACUGGAUGGGCCUCUCUAUAAAGACAUUCAAGAGAACAUUCUACCUGGUCUUAAGAGAACAUGCCUUACAAUUCAAGGCUGCCAUACAUUUCUUUCCAAAUGAAAGGUCAAUAUCAAACUGAUUUCAGUUUGGAAUUGAUGGAAUUUUGAGGGUUUGUCAAGGAGCAUUUUUGAUAGCCUAGAAAGCAAACUGCAAGGUGCCGACAUGAUGGGGGCCACCUACCAAAACACUACAUGGUGGGCAGUGCCUCGCUAGAGUAAACAAUACACUUACACCAAUUCAUCAUAAGACCAUGGAAUACUCAAGUAACUGAAGAACUACCUGUCAUUCAGCCUACAAACGAGGGCAUCUUUUCAACCCUCAAGGCAUAUGAUCUGGUGUGGUUAACAUGUUCAGCAUAAGGCUUAUAAAAAAAAAACUGCAGAUGCUUAGGAUGAGAUGCAGUGAAGUUGUAUUUCAAAUAACAUGAAGGGAAAGAGACAUUCAUGUACAAGGCUUUCUUUUAGCAGAGAAACACCUGUGUGGACAGUCUCCAUGUAGUCUUGCUCAAGAAAGACCAAAAGGAUCUUGCUGACCAAUGAGGAGGUGAUGGCAAUAGAUUAAGGACAUGCAGCAGAAUGAGAAGAUUAAGACGAAGGAACUGCUGAAACCUCCAAAGGGUGCAUUAUAUUACAGUAUUUCCAUAAAAAUCAUGAAGGAAGUUUACUACCUAACAUUCUAGGAGCUAGUCUACCACACUGAUCCAUACCAAAGGAAAAACCAAUUGUCUGGCAGAGAUGACAUAUUUAUUUCUUUUAGACAUCAUUGUUUGUCCACUGCCUCCUUGUCUAUGUAUCCCGACUGGUAAUGUACCAAUGUCAUCAAAGCAGAAGUCUACCCAAAGCUCUUGCAUCAACACGGGUUGCCUCCCAAUCUCUACCUGGUGUCUCACUGGGCAGAAAAAAUUGUCCUCACACCUCUGCUGGUAACAGAAGAUAAGGCAGACAUGGAAUUAGGUUGUGAUGUUGGGAAUAAACAACAAUCCUCUAUUGACCACUUUCAGACAUGACAUGAGUUUGACUAGCCCAUAUCCAUGUAAACUUCUAGGAAAGGAGGAAAUACAUAUACUAUUAUAUAUAACACUUCUUUAACCAUCAAGUACUAGAUAGAUCCUUGGUGUGUCAUACUGUAUGAUGCAAUAUUGCUUGAUCACCACUUAGCUGGAAAACCAGCUCGUGCAAAGAAAAGAGUAUCAGAAAAAACAAAAAACUUUUAAAAGUGUUGCUCGAGAAAAUUCCAAGAAAGGAGAAUUUUGGGAAUAUCUAUCACUGUGGAUACUGUUCCUUUCAUUACUGCAAGAAUGGUUUAUAGGUAGCUUCCCUAAUCCUCCUAAAGUACCUGGAGACAGUUUCCUCAGUGCCUGCCAGAAGUUGAGCAGGUGAAAUGUGAAAAUUGGAUCUAUCCAAGGGUAUAUUAAAUCCUCAAAUAUCCAACAGAUUCAUAAAAACCUAAAAGAUUUACUUAGGCUUACUAUAAAAUGUAUGUAAGUUGUGUUACUUCCUCUGCUGAUAGUUUGCCAAAAAUGUGUGUGAAGCAAUAUACUGAUGUCUGAAAAGAAUCCAGGCAAUACAUCAUUAACGUUUUAAAGCUUCGCUUCCUUCAAAGUUAUCGACUACCAGUUGAUACAAGGUCCCAGAGCAAUAGCUGCCUGGGACUUUCAUAAAUAACUUACUUUUGUGACUGGAGUCCAAAGGCCCCAGAAGUGUUGUUUGCCGUGUGUGUGUCUGUUACUUGCGAAUGAAGAAGGGACGUAUUAUCAUCUUCGUAUGUCCUGUAAAAAUUAAAUAUGUAAUAAAAAUUACUUGUUACAUCAUGUCUAGUCUCAGUGAAAUGAAGCUAGACGCACAUGUAAAGGCAAAUAAUUUUAGAACAACAUUUUAUAAACCGAGACCUACUUACUGUCUGACAAAAGCUGUCAGUGUAAACUGAGACCUCCUGUCUGACAGAAGCUGUUAAUGGCUCAGGCUGAAGACAAGUGAUGGAUUUACAAGCAAACCAUUAGAGGGCAGCCAAGUUUUCCCUUGCUAAAGUAAGGGAGUUCUUCUUACUUUACUGUAUCCUUUAGACAAAUAAAAAUCCUAGGCAUUAUUAAUAUUACAGUACUUGAUUUAACCAUCAUUUUAUUUUCUGUUCAAGUAAUGAAGACAAUUCGGCAUUUUUUAAUUUUUUUGAAUGUACUCUAUCAAUGAGUAUGGUCUUCUAAUU